rnacentral:lncRNA from 1 species
GGGAUAGCUGAAAAAGGCUCCAAGCUUUCUGAGCUCGCCUCCAGGCUUGGCUCAGAGACACUGUGAAACCAGAACUAUGCACAGCUUACAAACUAAACCUAUCUGCAGAAGGAGCCCUCAGUUUCGGUCUGAGGGAUGGGAAAGAGAGCCCCUCCUGGUCAGAGGAAAUGGAAACCAGCAGGCGCUUUGCAGAAGAGUCUGGAAGACCCCUCUCCUGCGCCCUGGCAUUCCCCCACAGCCUCACAGCAGACUGCUGACCUUGUUGUCUUCAAGGGCUUAUAUACCCAUAGUCCCAGAGAUGCCUCUCUUCACCAUGCUUCACAAUUUUAUUGUUACUUUAAAAAUAUUAUCUUACACAAAACUUAAAUCUGCUGUAUGGCAUGGAAAGCAUGGCAGAGGUGUCCUUUUGUUCAUUUUUCUUUGAGCUUUUCUGUGAAAAAGAUUUAUUUCCUAAUACAUUCU